UGACCUACGGGAGGCAGCAGUGGGGGAUAUUGCACAAUGGGGGGAACCCUGAUGUAGCGACGCCGCGUGGGUGAAGAAGCGCCUCGGCGCGUAAAGCCCUGUCAGCAGGGAAGAAAAUGACGGUACCUGAAGAAGAAGCCCCGGCUAACUACGUGCCAGCAGCCGCGGUAAUACGUAGGGGGCAAGCGUUAUCCGGAUUUACUGGGUGUAAAGGGGGCGCAGACGGCGAUGCAAGCCAGGAGUGAAAGCCCGGGGCCCAACCCCGGGACUGCUUUGGAAACUGUGGAGCUAGCGUGCUGGAGAGG
rnacentral:rRNA from 1 species